AUGUGCCUGCAUCGCCUGUCAUUGGAUGCCACUGGUCAUGUGUGAGAGGCAAACGUCUUCAUGGCCCUUUUCCUGAUUUCCCAGGCGAGCGUUUUUUUUCCCCACCGCAUUCUGCGUCUAUGGCGCUCAAACCGAUACGCCACGGUCUGCUUUCUCAAAUAUUAUUCCAGCUAUUGGUUUCAUAAAAACGUCUGAUCAGCACAUAUUUGCAGCACUGCGCUGCUCGCUCCCCUGGACGACGAGGAAGGGAGCGUUGCAACUUUCUCCAUGCCUGACCUCUACACACACACAGCUGCACCGGCUCUGCAUACCUUAUCAAAGUGCACCGCAGACGCGCCAAAGCUCAAAGAAUAAACAUGGAUUACCUCCCCGCUACAGUUUCCGUCGCGGCACCUUCUUCUGUGACCGAACGAACUUGUUGUGGAUUAUUACCGGAUUUCCCUCCACCAAACUACAAGGUCUGUAGUCGGAACAACCCGAAGGUCUGCGUUUAUUCUGCUCACAACGUCCCUCUAUUAAUCUGUUGGGCUCUGAUCUGUGUUGUCCAGUGACUCUUACUGUUUUACUUUUACAUAACGAAAAUGCUUAAAACGAUAUUCCUAAAACCUCUGUAAAUUGCAUGAUUUAUUACGAUGUUGACUUGUGAUGUGAGAAGAUAAUACGCCAAGUUACUUACUCAUUUAAAUUACUGUUCACAUGAUGAUGAUGAAACUGAGGUGCAGUUUGAUUUCAUUUCAAACUUUAGGUCUCUCCACCUGAACAAAAACAUCUUUAACAAAAAGUUGCAUAUAAUUUUUGAUGAUAGAUUGUGCAGCCUUUGUUUUUAAAUGACGAAUCAUAAUCUAAUAAUGUGAUGAUCUGUCAUUUAACCUAGUGCUCACUGAUGCUAUGCCAGGAUGGUGUGAAGUUGCUAGAGGAAAGUCUAUGAAUGUUAUUCAUACCUGACAGAUGCAAAACUGAUUUUUAUCUUUCUUUAUUUUCUGAAAAAUAAAAUUGAUUUAAUCUUUUUUGAA